rnacentral:rRNA from 1 species
UACGUAGGGGGCAAGCGUUGUCCGGAUUUACUGGGCGUAAAGAGCGUGUAGGCGGCCAAACAGGUCCGUUGUGAAAACUGGAGGCUCAACUUCCAGACGUCGAUGGAAACCGUAUGGCUAGAGUCCGGAAGAGGAGAGUGGAAUUCCUGGUGUAGCGGUGAAAUGCGCAGAUAUCAGGAAGAACACCCGUGGCGAAGGCGGCUCUCUGGGACGGUACUGACGCUGAGACGCGAAAGCGUGGGGAGCGAACAGG